UACGUAGGGUGCGAGCGUUAAUCGGAAUUACUGGGCGUAAAGCGUGCGCAGGCGGCUAUUUAAGCUUGCUGUGAAAGCCCCGGGCUUAACCUGGGAACUGCAGUGAGGACUGGAUGGCUGGAGUGUGGCAGAGGGGGGUGGAAUUCCACGUGUAGCAGUGAAAUGCGUAGAGAUGUGGAGGAACACCGAUGGCGAAGGCAGCCCCCUGGGCUGAGAUUGACGCUCAGGCACGAAAGCGUGGGGAGCAAACAGG
rnacentral:rRNA from 1 species